UAGGGACUUUUGGGUGGAAUUAAGUUACUAAAUUCUUUUUACGCAACAAACAAUAUGGUUGCGCCCUUCCACGUCUUGAGAUCGCACUAAAACUAUUCGGGGGUCAAGUUAGACCUGUCAGACCCAUAUAAUUGAGACUGUUUAAUUAAUCAGACGAUUCGGUGUAUCCUAAAUACGGUUGGAAGCUCCAAUUUUCAGGGAAUGACAUCCCAUCCCUGUUGUGAGUAUCUUAACUUUUGUGCAGUCGCCUCUUCUUCAUGAAUUCAUGACAGAGUUUGACGUUUUGCAUUUUGUGGAGCCAUUCAAUCAACAUUGUUAAACAAACUUGGUGUAGACUGUAGCAAGUGAUCCAGAAAAGUCAAGUGCAUGACAUGUGAUGGCAGUUGAAAGUUAUUGUUAUUCAUCCCAACGAUUUUAGUGAAUUUUUAUAUUUGUGAAUUUUACAAGUGACACUCUCAAGGUGAUUUGAAUAUGUGGAAAUGCGGUGGAGUUUUGUUUGUUCUCACAAUUGUGUACAUCACCGAGUGUCAGAGUGCACAGUCGUACGAUGAUAAACGCUGCAAGUGCAUCUGUCCGAGUAUCUCCUCGGUGAUAAACACCACUAAUCCGUCGACUGAACGGAGGAAUUUUAUAUCUAAUGUUCCCCCGUCUAAUUGUAAUUGCGAGAAAGUCAUCCUCCCCCAGAUUAAAGAUCAGCUGAAUGGACAAGAACUCAUUUUCUGUCCCAGAUGUGAAUGUAAAUAUGAGAAUCGUAACACUACUAUUAUCAAGAUCGUUGUAAUAAUUGUGAUCUGGGUAAUUUCCCUGCUCGUGAUCUACAUGUUAUUUUUAAUUUGUCUUGAACCACUACUGAACAAAAGGAUCAGAAAGAACACUGGAGGUGCUGGAUAUCUGGAGCACACGAAUGAAGAAGAUGAUACCAUAUCUGCAGCUCCUGGAACAUCGUCCCAUCAGAUGGGCGUACGAUCAAACGUACUUAAUCGCGUUGGGCACCAACAGGACAAGUGGAAGAGACAAGUUCGAGAGCAACGACGCAAUAUCUACGAUCGCCACACGAUGUUGAAUUAAGUGAAGCCAUUUUCUUCAAUAAUGACACUGUCUAAUUAUUACAUAGGUGUAUAGUUGUAUAUUGAAAAUAUUCUGAAUUAGUAUUUCUAAAAAAAUGAUGAGGAAAGAGAGGAAAAAACUAAUUAAAGAGGAGGAGAGAGUCAAAUAAUUAGCGCAGCUUUCAGAAAUUUUUAUGGUAGGAAGGUUUCCUUCGGAAAAGAAGAAGAAAUACGAACGACUCACGUGAAACAAAUCUCAGGCUUUAUUAUAAUUUAUAUUACACCCGAUAGUUCAACAACCAGAAUAUCUAUCCAUUCAAUUCUUCACGUCAUUAUCCGGACGAUGUAUAUCUUCGUUAAUAUGUAUUGUAAUAUAGUAUGCAGAACGUCUAGAAAUUGCGUAAGAGACCACACACAUCUAAUGGUAACUAUUUUCACAGUGAAAUUGUCAAAUGUAAUCUGUCAAAUUUUUCGAUUCACUCAUUUGUGCAGUUAUCCCAGUGUCGAAUCAUUCUAAAAUGUUGGAAUGCAGUUUUGACAGUAGGAAAUUUGUUGGGAGUCUUUUAAAAUCGUCGUUUGCAUUUAGUCCCUAGGGUAAAGGGCAUAUUUUUGCUUUGUCCCGAAACAGAGAACACUAGAAUGGGAUAGAGACAAAGGUGGCUGGUUUCCCCUUGAAUGGAAGCACUGACGUUCAAUUACAAAUAUAAAAAAUAAUUGCAACGGACAAAAAUGGCCAGAGUACUUGGGUGUUCAUGAGGAAAAGUGCAAUUAUGAAUUUAAUUAUGUCACUGCUGCUGUCGUCGUAUCCUCUAGCUCCGUUUUUAUUUCAUUAUCAGAAUGAGAAUGUUCCACGGGACUAGAAUUAUCUAGAUUCCUAAAUCAGCUAUCGAAAUUUCCUAAAUUAUACCGUUGAGAUUAUCAAUUUUUCUUGUCAAGAAGUAUGAAAAUACAAUUAUUUUAUUUUA